CAUAAUACCGUCAUUCAAGGCCCAGAAAGGUAGUAAAGACAUCGUUAAAAUAGUCCUUAUGCUGACCCAGGUGCCGGCCAAUACUGAGUCGGCAUUCUGACGUAGAACCUGGAAGCAUUGCAGGGUGUUUACAAUGUAAACAGCGUAGGAGAAUGACAGGGGAGAGAAGAAAUGGUUGAAUAUAUCAGUUAUUUUUGUUUUGUUUUUGCAGUAUUUUCAUUUAAGGUAGCACCACUGUAGUCACAUGAACUGUUUUAAAUAUGUCUUUAGUACCUUUCUGGGCCUUGAAAGUGGCAAUUACGUUGCUUUAUAUUGGGGAUCAGAAACCUUGUGGAUUUCAUCAAAAAUAUCUUAAUUUGUGUUCCGAAGAUGAAUGAAGGUCUUACUGGUUUGGAACAACAUGAGGGUGAGUAAGAACAUUUCUGCCAUUUUUGGGUGAACUAACCAUUGAAUGCACUAAUACUAAUACAAUUUUAAAAUGUGAUCCAAAUUGUAGUUUUAAAUGUAUUUAUUUGUUUGUUUGUUUGUUUAAAACAAUACAAUAUAAAGAAUCACACUGUAAGCAGGUGAACCUGCUUUUCAAAAAAAGCUUGAUGUCCCACAGUUCUGUAAAGUUUCAUACAAUUAAAAUGUUUGUUUUUGAUUAAUAUAUGCCUGCUUUAUGCCAUUGUAUUUUAUGUCAUUUUUAUUUGCUUUUCGAUGUAUUUGCUUUUUUAAAUGUAAUGCAAAUUAUUGAUUGAUUGAUUGAUUCGUUCGUUCGCUCGUUCGUUCAUUUUAUCACCAUACAAUGUAAAGAAUCACAAUAAGCAGGUGAACCUACUUUUCAAAAAGGCAUUAUGUCAAAAAAUCUGUAAAAAAAUUUCACCAAUUUAAGUUAGACAAGCUCAAAAUAUUCACAUUUUUAAAAAGCUUCUGAAGAUCUUUUAGUUUUUGAUUAAUUUAGCUUUAUUAUGCCAUUCUAUUCCAUUCCAUUGCUUUUUGUCUGUAUAUGUAAUCCAAAUCUUAUUUAUUUGUUUGUUUGUUUGUUUUCAUUUAUUGUUUGUUUGUUCCAUUUUUAUUUGCCUUUUCAAUUUCUAAUUUGUUCACAAAUUAAAGCUUUUUAAAUGAAUUAAUUCCAUUUGCUUAUCCAUUUAUUUACGGUCCGUCAAAAUGUGUUUAAAAUCACAGUUUUAAAUGUAUUUAUUUAUUGUUUGUUUGUACCAUUUUUAUUUGGCUUUCCAAUUUCUAAUUUGUUAAAAAAUUUAAGUUUUUUUUUAAUGAAUUAAUUCCAUUUGCUUUUCCAUUUAUUUACUGUCUGUCAAAAUGUGAUUAAAAUCAUAGAUUAAAUGUAUUUAUUUAUUAUUUGUUUGUGUUGUUUUUAUUUGAUUUUUUAUUUAUUCAAAAAUUUAUGAUUGUUGUUAUUUUUAUGUUCUUUUUUCUUUUUUUUAAUACUUUGACAUAUGAAGCACUUUGAACUUCAUUGUAUGAAAGAUGCUACUAUACAUGAACUCAAUGAUGAACGCCUUUUAUUCAUUAACCUUGAUAAUAAUUGUCAUGUAUUUUUUUAAUUCCACUAAAUUCAAAUAUCCAUCUAUGAGAUACACUAAUAAACAAACACAUAACCCAUGAGCCAUUGUCAUCCUAUAGCAGCCUCAUUGCCAGUAAAGCAUGAGUUGCUUUAAUUUAUGUUUGUAGGCUACACAAAGCUUCUCUCCCAGGAGCACGUCGACCAAUUCACAGCCCUCGUUGUUCUUAGAAAGCUUCUUUGUUCCCUCCUACGAGAUUCUAAAUUUACCCACCAGAGACAAAAGGUAGCGUGAUAAUUAACUGCAUGUCACUGCUGCCGAGGACCUGAAACGCGAGACACCCUCUGCCCAUUGUUGUGUCCAGUUCAGGGCAGUGGCGGAGUGACAUCACUUGGUGAUGUCAGGUUCACAGGGCGGAACUGGACCGUCGGGUCCCCUGUGAUUGGUCACAUCUUGCGGCACAACAGGUAUAAGAGUUCUAUGCUCAGUCAAAGCAUGCAAAAUUGUACGCAUAAUUCUGCAGCAUCCCUAGGACGACCUGAACUUAGUUGGUUACCAUGGCAACUGUUGUACCGUGUGCAUCAUGUUAUGGCAGCAGCAGCGUUCAGCUCUUUGGGAGAGGGCAUGGUGGCGAUUACAUGUCCCUUUUCAGUUACAGAGGGCCCAGAGGGGCCCCUCGCCCACGUCUGGCCUACCACGCUCCGAAGAUGACACUGCGUCAGAUUUGUCGCAUGUUGCGUAUAAUGCGGCAGCUACGCAAUAAAGAAGCAGCAGCCGCUGCUGCAGCCGCCAGAAAACAGGCCUCUCCUCCCAGCUCACCUACAAUCAAAUCGGAGAAGCGAUGCUUACCUGCCUGUUUUCGACGUAGACGUAGUAACAAUAUUAAAAGAGUGAGUUAAGCAUCCAGUUUCUCCAAAACCUCCCAACAACUUCAGCCCUGUGGGAGUUUACAAAUUGGGGAAAUGGAGCCAGACCUCACUCCACACAGAAGACUUAAAGUGAGGGACCAAGACAUCACGUUCUACAAUCUUGUUGGAUUCUUUUGUUGGGAGGAUGUAACAUGCAACAAAUCUGGUUUUGGUGGGAAGAAGUCAAGCAGAUCUUUAGGUGCCCUGCGAGUGCUGGAACUCUACAUAUCUUACAUUUCAUAAUGACACAAGAGUUUUUAUAUGUUUUUUUUUUCUGGAUUGUUUGCACUUAUUGAACUCCAAUUGUGAAAUCUAUGAAAUUCCAGUAGGGUCAAACAGUUUUGUGUGCUUCUAUCUGUAAUUAAACCAGCGGAAAGUCCUCAUCAGGGUGGAAAUACGACACAGCUAUUUGUUUGUUUAUUUAUUCAUCUGUUUGUUUGUUUCUGUGUGGGACAGGGGGCCCAAGGUUCCUUCUCUCUCAAAGAGGUGUGAUGGAAACUUAGGUACCGGUGUGUAUUACCGUGCUGAAACUAAAACUGAUGUACACAGCUAGUGUGUGACAACAUUGUGAAUUUACUGAUCUGCUUUUGAUUAACCUUUCAAUAAUAAAACACCUAUGAUUUCAAAA